rnacentral:rRNA from 1 species
GACGAACGCUGGCGGCGUGCUUAACACAUGCAAGUCGAACGGUGAAGCUCCAGCUUGCUGGAGUGGAUCAGUGGCGAACGGGUGAGUAACACGUGAGCAACCUGCCCCUGACUCUGGGAUAAGCGCUGCAAACGGCGUCUAAUACUGGAUACGAGAAGGGUCCGCAUGGGCACUUUCUGGAAAGUUUGUCGGUUGGGGAUGGGCUCGCGGCCUAUCAGCUUGUUGGUGAGGUAAUGGCUCACCAAGGCGACGACGGGUAGCCGGCCUGAGAGGGCGACCGGCCACACUGGGACUGAGACACGGCCCAGACUCCUACGGGAGGCAGCAGUGGGGAAUAUUGCACAAUGGGCGAAAGCCUGAUGCAGCGACGCCGCGUGAGGGAUGACGGCCUUCGGGUUGUAAACCUCUUUCAGCAGGGAAGAAGCGAAAGUGACGGUACCUGCAGAAGAAGCACCGGCUAACUACGUG